rnacentral:rRNA from 1 species
UACGGAAGGGGCAAGCGUUGUUCGGAAUCAUUGGGCGUAAAGGGCGCGUAGGUGGUUCUGUAUGUCUAUCGUGAAAGCAUACAGCUCAACUGUAUUUUGUCGGUAGAAACUGCAGGACUUGAGGCUGGGAGGGGCUGGUGGAAUUCCCUGUGUAGCGGUGAAAUGCGUAGAGAGUGGGGGAGAACACUCGUGGCGAAGGCGGCCAGCUAGACCAGUUCUGACACUGAGGCGCGACAGCGUGGGGAGCAAACAGG